rnacentral:rRNA from 1 species
GACGAACGCUGGCGGCGUGCCUAAUACAUGCAAGUCGAACGCUUCUUUCCUCCCGAGUGCUUGCACUCAAUUGGAAAGAGGAGUGGCGGACGGGUGAGUAACACGUGGGUAACCUACCCAUCAGAGGGGGAUGACACUUGGAAACAGGUGCUAAUACCGCAUAACAGUUUUUGCCGCAUGGCAUAAGAGUGAAAGGCGCUUUCGGGUGUCGCUGAUGGAUGGACCCGCGGUGCAUUAGCUAGUUGGUGAGGUAACGGCUCACCAAGGCCACGAUGCAUAGCCGACCUGAGAGGGUGAUCGGCCACACUGGGACUGAGACACGGCCCAGACUCCUACGGGAGGCAGCAGUAGGGAAUCUUCGGCAAUGGACGAAAGUCUGACCGAGCAACGCCGCGUGAGUGAAGAAGGUUUUCGGAUCGUAAAACUCUGUUGUUAGAGAAGAACAAGGACGUUAGUAACUGAACGUCCCCUGACGGUAUCUAACCAGAAAGCCACGGCUAACUACGUG